rnacentral:rRNA from 1 species
AGUGAACGCUGGCGGUAUGCCUAACACAUGCAAGUCGAACGGCAGCACAGUAAGAUCGUGCUCUUACGGUUGGCGAGUGGCGGACGGGUGAGGCAUACAUCGCCAUCUUCUUUUUCUUGGGUGACUACGUAGGGACACUUACGCUAAUACCUCAUACAAUCUACCGGUUAAAUCAAUAGUUCUUGAGAGUUUUCGCGUUUCAUUUAGCCGGUUCCGGAUUAGCUAGUUGGGAGGGUAAAGGCCCACCAAGGCAACGAUGCGUAGCUGGUCUGAGAGGAUGAUCGGCCACACUGGAACUGAGACACGGUCCAGACUCCUACGGGAGGCAGCAGUAGGGAAUCUUCGGCAAUGGGCGCAAGCCUGAUCCAGCAAUGCCGCGUGGGUGAAGAAGGCCUUCGGGUUGUAAAGCCCUUUUGUUGGGAAAGAAAAGCAGCAGAUGAAUACACCGCUGUUCUGACGGUACCCAAAGAAUAAGCACCGGCUAACUUCGUG